CCGCACAAGCGGCGGAGCAUGCGGAUUAAUUCGAUGCAACGCGAAGAACCUUACCAAGGCUUGACAUACACCGGUAACGCCCAGAGAUGGGUGCCCCUUUGUGGUCGGUGGACAGGUGGUGCAUGGUUGUCGUCAGCUCGUGUCGUGAGAUGUUGGGUUAAGUCCCGCAACGAGCGCAACCCUCGUCCUAUGUUGCCAGCGGGUCAUGCCGGGGACUCAUGGGAGACUGCCGGGGUCAACUCGGAGGAAGGUGGGGAUGACGUCAAAUCAUCAUGCCCCUUAUGUCUUGGGCUUCACGCACGCUACAAUGGCCGGUACAAAGGGCUGCGAUACCGCGAGGUGGAGCGAAUCCCAGAAAGCCGGUCUCAGUUCGGAUUGGGGUCUGCAACUCGACCCCAUGAAGUCGGAGUCGCUAGUAAUCGCAGAUCAGCAUGCUGCGGUGAAUACGUUCCCGGGUCUU
rnacentral:rRNA from 1 species